rnacentral:rRNA from 1 species
AUUGGGACUGAGACACGGCCCAAACUCCUACGGGAGGCAGCAGUAGGGAAUUUUCGUCAAUGGGGGGAACCCUGAACGAGCAAUGCCGCGUGAGUGAGGAAGGUCUUCGGAUCGUAAAGCUCUGUUGUAAGAGAAAAACGGCACUCAUAGGGAAUGAUGAGUGAGUGAUGGUAUCUUACCAGAAAGUCACGGCUAACUACGUGCCAGCAGCCGCGGUAAUACGUAGGUGGCGAGCGUUAUCCGGAAUGAUUGGGCGUAAAGGGUGCGUAGGUGGCAGAUCAAGUCUGGAGUAAAAGGUAUGGGCUCAACCCGUACUGGCUCUGGAAACUGAUCAGCUAGAGAACAGAAGAGGACGGCGGAACUCCAUGUGUAGCGGUAAAAUGCGUAGAUAUAUGGAAGAACACCGGUGGCGAAGGCGGCCGUCUGGUCUGGAUUCUGACACUGAAGCACGAAAGCGUGGGGAGCAAAUAGGAUUAGAUACCCUAGUAGUCCACGCCGUAAACGAUGAGAACUAGGUGUUGGGGGAAUAACUCAGUGCCGCAGUUAACGCAGUAAGUUCUCCGCCUGGGGAGUAUGCACGCAAGUGUGAAACUCAAAGGAAUUGACGGGGGCCCGCACAAGCGGUGGAGUAUGUGGUUUAAUUCGAAGCAACGCGAAGAACCUUACCAGGCCUUGACAUCCCUUGCAGAGGUAUAGAGAUAUAUCCGAGGUUAUCAAGGAGACAGGUGGUGCAUGGUUGUCGUCAGCUCGUGUCGUGAGAUGUUGGGUUAAGUCCCGCAACGAGCGCAACCCUUGUGAUAUGUUACUAACAUUGAGUUGAGGACUCAUAUCAGACUGCCGGUGACAAACCGGAGGAAGGUGGGGAUGACGUCAAAUCAUCAUGCCCCUUAUGGCCUGGGCUACACACGUACUACAAUGGCGUCUACAAAGAGCGGCAAGCCUGUGAAGGCAAGCGAAUCUCAUAAAGGACGUCUCAGUUCGGAUUGAAGUCUGCAACCCGACUUCAUGAAGCUGGAAUCGCUAGUAAUCGCGAAUCAGCAUGUCGCGGUGAAUACGUUCUCGGGCCUUGUACACACCGCCCGUCAAACCAUGGGAGUUGGUAAUGCCCGAAGCCGGUGGCAUAACCCUUCGGGGAGUGAGCCGUCGAAGGCAGGACCGAUGACUGGGGUUAAGUCGUAACAAGGUAUCCCUACGGGAACGUGGGGAUG